rnacentral:rRNA from 1 species
CCUACGGGUGGCUGCAGUAGGGAAUCUUCCACAAUGGACGAAAGUCUGAUGGAGCAACGCCGCGUGAGUGAAGAAGGUUUUCGGAUCGUAAAACUCUGUUGUAAGGGAAGAACAAGUACAGUAGUAACUGGCUGUACCUUGACGGUACCUUAUUAGAAAGCCACGGCUAACUACGUGCCAGCAGCCGCGGUAAUACGUAGGUGGCAAGCGUUGUCCGGAAUUAUUGGGCGUAAAGCGCGCGCAGGCGGUCCUUUAAGUCUGAUGUGAAAGCCCACGGCUCAACCGUGGAGGGUCAUUGGAAACUGGAGGACUUGAGUGCAGAAGAGGAAAGUGGAAUUCCAAGUGUAGCGGUGAAAUGCGUAGAGAUUUGGAGGAACACCAGUGGCGAGGGCGACUUUCUGGUCUGUAACUGACGCUGAGGCGCGAAAGCGUGGGGAGCAAACAGGAUUAGAUACCCUGGUAGUC